AGAAAAAAUGGAUUGCUUAUACAUGAAUGAUAGUCUGCUGACAGAUUUCUCAUCGGCAUCAGCAGAAUACAGCAAAUAAACAUCUUCUAACAGUUGAGGUAAAUGAACUGUCUGCUUAAGAGUUAAUAACCAAUGAAAAUAUCAUUCAAAGGCAAAACUCACAGAUUCUUCCCAAGAGAACACUAAAUGAUAUACCUCAGUCACAAGAAAACAAUGGAGAAGAGUGGGAUCUUUGCAUUUUUUUUUACAG
rnacentral:lncRNA from 10 species